rnacentral:rRNA from 1 species
GACGUUGGGAAAGCGAGCGGCGGAUGGGUGAGUAACACGUGGGGAACCUGCCCCUAAGUCUGGGAUACCAUUUGGAAACAGGUGCUAAUACCGGAUAAUAAAGCAGAUCGCAUGAUCAGCUUUUGAAAGGCGGCGUAAGCUGUCGCUAAGGGAUGGCCCCGCGGUGCAUUAGCUAGUUGGUAAGGUAACGGCUUACCAAGGCGACGAUGCAUAGCCGAGUUGAGAGACUGAUCGGCCACAUUGGGACUGAGACACGGCCCAAACUCCUACGGGAGGCAGCAGUAGGGAAUCUUCCACAAUGGACGCAAGUCUGAUGGAGCAACGCCGCGUGAGUGAAGAAGGUUUUCGGAUCGUAAAGCUCUGUUGUUGGUGAAGAAGGAUAGAGGUAGUAACUGGCCUUUAUUUGACGGUAAUCAACCAGAAAGUCACGGCUAACUACGUGCCAGCAGCCGCGGUAAUACGUAGGUGGCAAGCGUUGUCCGGAUUUAUUGGGCGUAAAGCGAGCGCAGGCGGAAAAAUAAGUCUAAUGUGAAAGCCCUCGGCUUAACCGAGGAAUUGCAUCGGAAACUGUUUUUCUUGAGUGCAGAAGAGGAGAGUGGAACUCCAUGCGUAGCGGUGGAAUGCGUAGAUAUAUGGAAGAACACCAGUGGCGAAGGCGGCUCUCUGGUCUGCAACUGACGCUGAGGCUCGAAAGCAUGGGUAGCGAACAGGAUUAGAUACCCUGGUAGUCCAUGCCGUAAACGAUGAGUGCUAAGUGUUGGGGAGGUUUCCGCCUCUCAGUGCUGCAGCUAACGCAUUAAGCACUCCGCCUGGGGGAAGUACGACCGCAAGGUUGAAACUCAAAGGGAAUUGACGGGGGGCCCGCACAAGCGGGUGGAGCAUGUGGUUUUAAUUCGAA